GACGAACCGUGCGAACGUUGUUCGGAUUCACUGGGCUUAAAGGGCGCGUAGGCGGGUGUUCAAGUCCGGGGUGAAAUCCUCCAGCUUAACUGGAGAAUAGCCCUGGAUACUGAAUGUCUUGAGGAAGGUAGGGGCAUGUGGAACUUCCGGUGGAGCGGUGAAAUGCGUAGAUAUCGGAAGGAACGCCGGUGGCGAAAGCGACGUGCUGGACCUUUUCUGACGCUGAGGCGCGAAAGCCAGGGGAGCAAACGGG
rnacentral:rRNA from 1 species